GAUGAACGCUGGCGGCGUGCCUAAUACAUGCAAGUCGAACGAACAGAUGAGGCGCUUGCUCCUCUCACGUGAGCGGCGGACGUGUGAGUAACACGUGGAUAACCUACCUAUAAUACGGGUAUAACUUCGGGAAACCGGAUCUAAUCCCGUAUAAUAUAUUGAACCGCAUGGUUCAAUAGUAAAAUACGGUUUUGCUGGCACUUAUAGAGGGAUCCGGGCGGCAUUAGCUAGUUGUUGAGUUAAUGGGCUACCAAGGCAAGGAUGCGUGGCCGAGGGGAGAGGGGGGUCGGCCACACUGGAACUGGGACAGGGUCAAGACUCCUAAGGGAGGGAGCAGUAGGGAACCGUACGCAACGGGCGAAAGUUUGACGGAGCAAGCCCGAGUGAGUGACGAAGGUGCUCGGAUCGGAAAAAUCGGUUAUUAGGGAAGAACAAAUGUGUAAGUAACUAUGCACGUCUUGACGGUACCUAAUAAGAAAGCAACGGCUAACUACGUG
rnacentral:rRNA from 1 species